AGCAACAGCAGGAUCAAGUGGACCGCA
rnacentral:piRNA from 1 species